CUGAAAAGUAUCAGACAGCCUGGAAAACAAAUAUGGAGUCACACAGCCAGGUCUUCAUAUUCCUGCUUCUCUGGUUGUCUGGUGCUGAGGGGAACAUUGUGAUGACCCAGUCUCCUGAAUUCAUGUCCACAUCUGUUGGAGACAGAAUCACCCUAAGCUGCAAGUCAAGUCAGAGUGUGAGUGGUUGGGUAGCUUGGUACCAGCAGAAACCAGGGAAGCCUCCUAAACUGCUAAUCUAUGAUGCAUCCAAUAGAUACACUGGGGUCCCUGAUCGCUUCAUAGGCAGUGGAUCUGGGACAGAUUACACUCUCACCAUCAGCAGUGUACAGGCUGAAGACCUGGCAGUUUAUUACUGUCAGCAGUAUGACAGUACUCCUCCCACAGUGCUUCAACGACGCUAUUGUUAA